UCUGGGUGCAGUGGAGCGUACCUGUAGUCCCAGCUACUCAGGAGGCUGAGGUGGGAGGAUUGCUUGAGCCCAGGAGCUCUGGAUUGUAGUGCGCUAUGCUGAUCGGGUGUCCGCACUAAGUUCGGCAUCAAUAUGGUGACCUCCUGGGAGCAGGGGACCACCAGGUUGCCUAAGGAGGGGUGAACUGGCCCAGGUCGGAAACGGAGCAGGUCAAAACUCCCGUGCUGAUCAGUAGUCGGAUCACACCUGUGAAUAGCCACUGCACUCCAGCCUGGUGACAGGGCGAGACUCCAUCUCA
rnacentral:SRP_RNA from 1 species